rnacentral:ncRNA from 1 species
UCAAACAUUUUGACGGAGAAGCUUUGUGUGUUGAAAUCUUUAGAGAGCUAAUGGUUGGUGGGAAUUAGCGGUUUCUGCAUGAAGUAGCACUCCCGAAUUGAUAGGCUGAACGUUUUUGAUCAGUAGGUCUAUACGGCUCAUGCACGUUACGCAUGCCAUAAGGCUGUCGUUUUUUGCAUGGCAGCGAAUAAGGGUGGUACCGCGUAAAUAACAAGCUUUUCGCCCCUUAC